GACGAACGCUGGCGGCGUGCUUAACACAUGCAAGUCGAACGGAAAGGCCCUGCUUUUGUGGGGUGCUCGAGUGGCGAACGGGUGAGUAACACGUGAGUAACCUGCCCUUGACUUUGGGAUAACUUCAGGAAACUGGGGCUAAUACCGGAUAGGAGCUCCUGCUGCAUGGUGGGGGUUGGAAAGUUUCGGCGGUUAGGGAUGGACUCGCGGCUUAUCAGCUUGUUGGUGGGGUAGUGGCUUACCAAGGCUUUGACGGGUAGCCGGCCUGAGAGGGUGACCGGCCACAUUGGGACUGAGAUACGGCCCAGACUCCUACGGGAGGCAGCAGUGGGGAAUUUUGCACAAUGGGCGGAAGCCUGAUGCAGCAACGCCGCGUGCGGGAUGACGGCCUUCGGGUUGUAAACCGCUUUCGCCUGUGACGAAGCGUGAGUGACGGUAAUGGGUAAAGAAGCACCGGCUAACUACGUG
rnacentral:rRNA from 1 species